rnacentral:misc_RNA from 1 species
ACCGAGUUUACAAACUCCCAAAACCCUUUGUGAAACCUUACCUAAUCGUUGCUUCGGCGGGGACCGCCCCCGGCGCCUUCAAAACCGCGCCGGAUCCAGGCCACCCCGCCGGAGGUAUACAAAACUCUUGUUUUUAUAUAGCAUCUUCUGAGUGGCGGAAAAGCAAAAAAUGAAUCAA